rnacentral:precursor_RNA from 1 species
GGUUCAGGCUUGUCAUCCCAGCUACUUGUGAGGCUGAGGUGGGAGGAUAACUUGAGUCCAG